GUGUUUUGUGAACAUAUCGGACUUGAUCUCUAUUGCUUGCUGUCACAUCUUGAUCCAAACGAGAUUUUAGGUAUCAAGAUCGAUCAGCAUAGGGGGCAGUUCCACGACAGUGGGCUGUUCUAUUUGAGUGAUCUGAGUUCUAUACUUGCUCUUAAUUAAACUUGAAUAAUUAUUUGGCUCACACUUGCUUAACACCCGAUCAAACCACCAUAGGCUAGCAUUUUUAAUCAUC
rnacentral:lncRNA from 1 species